GGUUAUAGCUUAGUGGUAGAGCGUGUGCUUAGCAUGCAGGAGGUCCUGAGUUCAAUCCCCAGUACCUCCA
rnacentral:tRNA from 1 species